GAAAUGCGAUAAGUAAUGUGAAUUGCAGAAUUCAGUGAAUCAUCGAAUCUUUGAACGCACCUUGCACCUUUUGGUAUUCCGAAAGGUAUGCCUGUUUGAGUGUCAUGAAAUCUCAAUCCCCUCGGGUUUUACGACCUGAUCGGACUUGGACUUGGGCGUCUGCCAUCCGUGGCUCGCCUCAAAUGGAUUAGUGGGAAUAGCACUUGCAGUUAGACGUAAUAAGUUUCGUCUGAUCUCGGUGUGAAGCCUGCCUCUAACAAACCAAUUACUUUAUGACUCUGACCUCAAAUCAGGUAGGGCUACCCGCUGAACUUAA
rnacentral:misc_RNA from 2 species